AUUAAACGCUGGCGGCAUGCCUUACACAUGCAAGUCGAACGGCAGCACGGGGGCAACCCUGGUGGCGAGUGGCGGACGGGUGAGUAAAGCAUCGGAACGUAUCCUGGAGUGGGGGAUAACGUAGCGAAAGUUACGCUAAUACCGCAUAUUCUGUGAGCAGGAAAGCAGGGGAUCGCAAGACCUUGCGCUCUGGGAGCGGCCGAUGUCGGAUUAGCUAGUUGGUGGGGUAAAGGCCUACCAAGGCGACGAUCCGUAGCGGGUCUGAGAGGAUGAUCCGCCACACUGGGACUGAGACACGGCCCAGACUCCUACGGGAGGCAGCAGUGGGGAAUUUUGGACAAUGGGCGGAAGCCUGAUCCAGCCAUGCCGUGUGAGUGAAGAAGGCC
rnacentral:rRNA from 1 species